rnacentral:rRNA from 1 species
CAGCAGCCGCGGUAAUACGGAGGGUGCAAGCGUUAAUCGGAAUUACUGGGCGUAAAGCGCACGCAGGCGGUCUGUCAAGUCGGAUGUGAAAUCCCCGGGCUCAACCUGGGAACUGCAUUCGAAACUGGCAGGCUAGAGUCUUGUAGAGGGGGGUAGAAUUCCAGGUGUAGCGGUGAAAUGCGUAGAGAUCUGGAGGAAUACCGGUGGCGAAGGCGGCCCCCUGGACAAAGACUGACGCUCAGGUGCGAAAGCGUGGGGAGCAAACAGGAUUAGAUACCCGUGUAGUCCCUGUCUCUUAUAC